rnacentral:rRNA from 1 species
AGAGUUUGAUUCUGGCUCAGGACGAACGCUGGCGGCGCGCCUAACACAUGCAAGUCGAACGGAAUCAAGAGGAGCUUGCUUUUCUUGAUUUAGUGGCGAACGGGUGAGUAACGCGUGAGUAACCUGCCCUGGAGUGGGGGACAACAGUUGGAAACGACUGCUAAUACCGCAUAAGCCCACGGUACCGCAUGGUACUGAGGGAAAAGGAUUUAUUCGCUUCAGGAUGGACUCGCGUCCAAUUAGCUAGUUGGUGAGGUAACGGCCCACCAAGGCGACGAUUGGUAGCCGGACUGAGAGGUUGAACGGCCACAUUGGGACUGAGACACGGCCCAG